rnacentral:rRNA from 1 species
UUGCCCUAGUAACGGCGAGUGAAGCGGCAACAGCUCAAAUUUGAAAGCUAGCCUUCGGGGUUCGCAUUGUAAUUUGUAGAGGAUGCUUUGGGUAAAACGCCAGUCUAAGUUCCUUGGAACAGGACGUCAUAGAGGGUGAGAAUCCCGUAUGUGACUGGAAAUGUUAACCUAUGUAAAGCUCCUUGGACGAGUCGAGUUGUUUGGGAAUGCAGCUCUAAAUGGGAGGUAAAUUUCUUCUAAAGCUAAAUAUUGGCGAGAGACCGAUAGCGCACAAGUAGAGUGAUCGAAAGAUGAAAAGCACUUUGGAAAGAGAGUUAAAAAGCACGUGAAAUUGUUGAAAGGGAAGCGCUUGCAAUCAGACUUGUUUAAACUGUUCGGCCGGUCUUCUGACCGGUUUACUCAGUUUGGACAGGCCAGCAUCAGUUUCGGCGGCCGGAUAAAGGCUCUGGGAAUGUGGCCUCCACUUCGGUGGAGGUGUUAUAGCCCAGUGUGUAAUACGGCCAGCCGGGACUUGAGGUCCGCGCUCGGGCU